GAUGAUCGCUGGCGGCGUGCCUAAUACAUGCAAGUCGAGCGAACAGAUAAGGAGCUUGCUCCUUUGACGUUAGCGGCGGACGGGUGAGUAACACGUGGGUAACCUACCUAUAAGACUGGGAUAACUUCGGGAAACCGGAGCUAAUACCGGAUAACAUUUGGAACCGCAUGGUUCUAAAGUGAAAGAUGGUUUUGCUAUCACUUAUAGAUGGACCCGCGCCGUAUUAGCUAGUUGGUAAGGUAACGGCUUACCAAGGCGACGAUACGUAGCCGACCUGAGAGGGUGAUCGGCCACACUGGAACUGAGACACGGUCCAGACUCCUACGGGAGGCAGCAGUAGGGAAUCUUCCGCAAUGGGCGAAAGCCUGACGGAGCAACGCCGCGUGAGUGAUGAAGGGUUUCGGCUCGUAAAACUCUGUUAUUAGGGAAGAACAAAUGUGUAAGUAACUGUGCACGUCUUGACGGUACCUAAUCAGAAAGCCACGGCUAACUACGUG
rnacentral:rRNA from 1 species